GUUAAAAAGCUCGUAGUUGGAUUUCGGUUAAGAGCGACCGGUCCGCCGUUUGGUGUGCACUGGUUGGUUUUAACUUCUUGUAGAGGACGUGCUCUGGGCUUAACGGUCUGGACUCGGAGUCUACGUGGUUACUUUGAAAAAAUAGAGUGUUCAAAGCGGGCUUACGCUUGAAUAUUUCAGCAUGGAAUAACACUAUAGGACUCCUGUCCUAUUUCGUUGGUCUCGGGACGGGAGUAAUGAUUAAGAGGAACAGUUGGGGGCAUUCGUAUUUCAUUGUCAGAGGUGAAAUUCUUGGAUUUAUGAAAGACGAACUUCUGCGAAAGCAUUUGCCAAGGAUGUUUUCAUUAAUCAAGAACGAAAGUUGGGGGCUCGAAGAUGAUUAGAUACCAUCCUAGUCUCAACCAUAAACGAUGCCGACUAGGGAUUGGCGGAUGUUAAUUGAUGACUCCGCCAGCACCUUAUGAGAAAUCAAAGUUUUUGGG
rnacentral:rRNA from 1 species